UUUUUACUGCGUGAGGGAUUGCAGUGGAAAUCCUUUUUUACUAUAUGAAGUGCUAACGCAAUAGAAUAAAAAAGAUUGGAACAAAAAGCCCGACCAGAA
rnacentral:sRNA from 1 species